UACGGAGGGUGCAAGCGUUAUCCGGAUUCACUGGGUUUAAAGGGUGCGUAGGCGGGCAGGUAAGUCAGUGGUGAAAUCUCCGGGCUUAACCCGGAAACUGCCGUUGAUACUAUCUGUCUUGAAUAUCGUGGAGGUAAGCGGAAUAUGUCAUGUAGCGGUGAAAUGCUUAGAUAUGACAUAGAACACCCAUUGCGAAGGCAGCUUACUACGCGAUCAUUGACGCUGAGGCACGAAAGCGUGGGGAGCAAACAGG
rnacentral:rRNA from 1 species